CGCGAGGCGACGUUCAUCGCCAAAGUUUGGGCGCGGACCGUCCCGGGACCGGGGUUUUCGUCAGGCAGGAGGAUUUCUCGGAGGCUCCCGGGAACCACGUUCCCCAGGAGCCGUGCGAACGCGUGCCUGGUGUUAGCAGAGCGAUUGGGAUCUGAGCGAUGUUGGGUUUGUGUGUAAGCUGAAGGAAACGUGUGUGCAUGUGUGCGUGUGUAUGUGUGUGUUGCAGGGUUCUAACCUUGUAUGACUUUUGCUUUUCAGGUUUUUCAACUAAUUUAUAAAUUUAGAAUAAAAAAUCCCCAGCCGGGGGGUUUUUUUUUUUUCCCCCCGGCUGGGUUUUUUUUUCCUCGGUCCCGGCCGGUCCGCGAGGCGACGUUCAUCGCCAAAGUUCGGGCGCGGACCGUCCAGGGACCGGGGUUUUCGUCAGGCAGGAGGAUUUCUAGGAGGCUCCCGGGAACCACGUUCCCGAGGACCAACGAUUGCCGGGGUGUAGUUUAGCAGUCGCGACGAGAGCGAUGGUGAGGUUGUGUCGGAAGGGGCUGUUAGCGGUAGAUGAACGUUGUUUGCUGUGCGCUUGUGUUGUUUUGGGUUUCCUGUAACAAUAAAUCAACAUGUAAUGAAAAGAGGGAAAAGGUCAUCAUAUCGUGUUAAUAUGUGUUUUGUGUCGUAUUGCUCUGUAUUGUUAUGUAUUUGCAUUAUUGCUGCAUUUCCCUGUAUUGCUCUGUAUGUAAAUUUGACUUUUACCAGUGUGGCUAUAGAUUGUAUGUGUACUCACAAUUCUAUACACUGUUUCCAUGUAUUUUGCUGAAGUGUAAAUUAAAAUAUUCAUUUAAUAAA